UACGGGAGGCAGCAGUGGGGAAUAUUGCACAAUGGGCGCAAGCCUGAUGCAGCAACGCCGCGUGAGGGAUGACGGCCUUCGGGUUGUAAACCUCUUUUAGUAGGGAAGAAGCGAAAGUGACGGUACCUGCAGAAAAAGCACCGGCUAACUACGUGCCAGCAGCCGCGGUAAUACGUAGGGUGCAAGCGUUGUCCGGAAUUAUUGGGCGUAAAGAGCUCGUAGGCGGCUUGUCGCGUCUGCUGUGAAAACCCGGGGCUCAACCCCGGGCCUGCAGUGGGUACGGGCAAGCUAGAGUGCGGUAGGGGAGAUUGGAAUUCCUGGUGUAGCGGUGGAAUGCGCAGAUAUCAGGAGGAACACCGAUGGCGAAGGCAGAUCUCUGGGCCGCUACUGACGCUGAGGAGCGAAAGCAUGGGGAGCGAACAGGAUUAGAUACCCUGGUAGUCCAUGCCGUAAACGUUGGGAACUAGAUGUAGGGCCUGUUCCACGGGUUCUGUGUCGUAGCUAACGCAUUAAGUUCCCCGCCUGGGGAGUACGGCCGCAAGGCUAAAACUCAAAGGAAUUGACGGGGGCCCGCACAAGCGGCGGAGCAUGCGGAUUAAUUCGAUGCAACGCGAAGAACCUUACCAAGGCUUGACAUAUACGAGAACGCUGUAGAGAUACAGAACUCUUUGGACACUCGUAUACAGGUGGUGCAUGGUUGUCGUCAGCUCGUGUCGUGAGAUGUUCGGUUAAGUCCGGCAACGAGCGCAACCCUCGUCCUAUGUUGCCAGCACGUUAUGGUGGGAACUCAUGGGAUACUGCCGUGGUCAACACGGAGGAAGGUGGGGAUGACGUCAAAUCAUCAUGCCCCUUAUGUCUUGGGCUUCACGCAUGCUACAAUGGCCGAUACAAAGGGCUGCGAUACCGCGAGGUGGAGCGAAUCCCAAAAAGUCGGUCUCAGUUCGGAUUGGGGUCUGCAACUCGACCCCAUGAAGUCGGAGUCGCUAGUAAUCGCAGAUCA
rnacentral:rRNA from 1 species